rnacentral:sRNA from 1 species
UAACGGUGCAGUAUCCUAGUCGGAGCGGCCACUUUCCAGGAAGGGCCUAAAAAUCCUUUGAAGGGCACAUCGAUGAAGUCCCUGGUGUCUGCUUUUUACGCCCAGUUUAGGGUGGGUGCUGGGGGUUAAGGAUCCCGGGCGCGCUCCAAUGGCAUGGAGCAUACGACCCGGUUUCCGUGGAGACCUGGUAUUGUGCGACGGCGGUAAGAUCCCCAAGCGGGGGCCCGUCCGCGUACGAGCCAGGAUAGGAACCUGCAAGGCAGUGCGCAGAAUCGUGUGCUGUAUGCAGCGUAGCCUGCCUUGAGUGAACAUGCGGGGAAAGGAGAACAGGCGGCCGGUUGUUAUGGCCAUAACGACUGCCGAGAUUGCUCCUGGAAACCAUGCUUGCAAAAGAGGCUAAGACUGUGGCUUCUUCCGCUGUGGAAAACACCUAGGCUGUCGUAACUGGGCAGACAGGGGAUUGCAGUACGGACUAAGUGGCAAUCGGGUAGCCAAAUUUGGCAACACUUGGACUGGGGGAUCAAAUGGAAACGGCCUGCGCGGCAACGGCAGGUUCCUCCUGGGGAAAACCAACCCGACCUAAGCCGUAAGAUUUAUCCUGUCUGCCACCGUUUUCAC